rnacentral:rRNA from 1 species
GGCNGGGCGAGUGCUACCAUGCAGUCGACGGUGAACACGGAGCUUGCUCUGUGGGAUCAGUGGCGAACGGGUGAGUAACACGUGAGCAACCUGCCCCUGACUCUGGGAUAAGCGCUGGAAACGGCGUCUAAUACUGGAUAUGUGACGUGACCGCAUGGUCUGCGUUUGGAAAGAUUUUUCGGUUGGGGAUGGGCUCGCGGCCUAUCAGCUUGUUGGUGAGGUAAUGGCUCACCAAGGCGUCGACGGGUAGCCGGCCUGAGAGGGUGACCGGCCACACUGGGACUGAGACACGGCCCAGACUCCUACGGGAGGCAGCAGUGGGGAAUAUUGCACAAUGGGCGAAAGCCUGAUGCAGCAACGCCGCGUGAGGGAUGACGGCCUUCGGGUUGUAAACCUCUUUUAGCAGGGAAGAAGCGAAAGUGACGGUACCUGCAGAAAAAGCGCCGGCUAACUACGUGCCAGCAGCCGCGGUAAUACGUAGGGCGCAAGCGUUAUCCGGAAUUAUUGGGCGUAAAGAGCUCGUAGGCGGUUUGUCGCGUCUGCUGUGAAAUCCCGAGGCUCAACCUCGGGCCUGCAGUGGGUACGGGCAGACUAGAGUGCGGUAGGGGAGAUUGGAAUUCCUGGUGUAGCGGUGGAAUGCGCAGAUAUCAGGAGGAACACCGAUGGCGAAGGCAGAUCUCUGGGCCGUAACUGACGCUGAGGAGCGAAAGGGUGGGGAGCAAACAGGCUUAGAUACCCUGGUAGUCCACCCCGUAAACGUUGGGAACUAGUUGUGGGGUCCAUUCCACGGAUUCCGUGACGCAGCUAACGCAUUAAGUUCCCCGCCUGGGGAGUACGGCCGCAAGGCUAAAACUCAAAGGAAUUGACGGGGACCCGCACAAGCGGCGGAGCAUGCGGAUUAAUUCGAUGCAACGCGAAGAACCUUACCAAGGCUUGACAUAUACGAGAACGGGCCAGAAAUGGUCAACUCUUUGGACACUCGUAAACAGGUGGUGCAUGGUGUCGUCAGCUCGUGUCGUGAGAUGUUGGUUAGUCCCGCACGACGCACCUCGUCUAUGUGCAGCACGUAUGUGGACUCAUGGNUACUGCGGGUCACUCGAGAAGGUGGGGAUGACGUCAAAUCAUCAUGC